GUCCCUGUAGCUUAAAAACAAAGCAUAGCACUGAAGAUGCUAAGAAGGCCGCUAAUACGCACCCAGAGACA
rnacentral:tRNA from 1 species